rnacentral:rRNA from 1 species
UGAGAGGAAGGUUCCCCACAUUGGAACUGAGACACGGUCCAAACUCCUACGGGAGGCAGCAGUGAGGAAUAUUGGUCAAUGGGCGAGAGCCUGAACCAGCCAAGUAGCGUGAAGGAUGACUGCCCUAUGGGUUGUAAACUUCUUUUAUAAAGGAAUAAAGUCGGGUAUGCAUACCCGUUUGCAUGUACUUUAUGAAUAAGGAUCGGCUAACUCCGUGCCAGCAGCCGCGGUAAUACGGAGGAUCCGAGCGUUAUCCGGAUUUAUUGGGUUUAAAGGGAGCGUAGAUGGAUGUUUAAGUCAGUUGUGAAAGUUUGCGGCUCAACCGUAAAAUUGCAGUUGAUACUGGAUAUCUUGAGUGCAGUUGAGGCAGGCGGAAUUCGUGGUGUAGCGGUGAAAUGCUUAGAUAUCACGAAGAACUCCGAUUGCGAAGGCAGCCUGCUAAGCUGCAACUGACAUUGAGGCUCGAAAGUGUGGGUAUCAAACAGGAUUAGAUACCCUGGUAGUCCACACGGUAAACGAUGAAUACUCGCUGUUUGCGAUAUACAGCAAGCGGCCAAGCGAAAGCGUUAAGUAUUCCACCUGGGGAGUA